rnacentral:misc_RNA from 1 species
AAGUCGUAACAAGGUAACCGUAGGUGAACCUGCGGUUGGAUCAUUACCAAAUCCCAAGGGGCCCAGCGCAAGCUGGACUCCAACCCACCUCUUGUGCAAUGUAACGUUUUUGGCGGGAGCUGCCUGGUUUUGAGUGGUUGCUGUUGUUGUUGUUGCUUGGUGCCUCACGGCAUCGAGUGGCGGCGACGACCUCCCACAAAAGGCCAGAAGGCAUCGCGGAGGAAUCACUUCCUCUGACCGUCAAUCUUUAAACCACUCCUUACAAUACCUUAAUCCUCUGACGUAACCUUGGAAGCGGUAUGUCUGCCUCACGGCGACUGCGGCAACCAUGCGAAACGAAAAAACAACUUUUGACAACGGAUCUCUUGGCUCUC